CUAUACACAGAAUGACAGAGAGAAGAGCAACCACAUCCAUAUAAAUUCCAUAGCUGGACCAAAACCUCAGGAUUGGCUAUCCCUCUCUAUAAACAAGGAACAAACACCCAGGGAUAGUAAAAAGCCAAAAGUCAAGACUGCGUUGUUAUUUCCAAUUAGUGAGCCAUUUCCAUAUUCACUAACUGAACUCCCACAUGGUGGGAGCUCAACAAAUGUUUGAUAGAUGGACGGAAGAAGGGAGGGAUAGAUGAAAGGAGAGAUGGAUAAAUGGAUGGAUGAAUGGAUGGGUAAUUAAUUGAACAAGUGCUUAGGGUGGCUCUUGACUCAGUUUUCCUCUGCUAUAGGGACAAAGUGGGAACAUUUUCUGGGUUUGCCAAGCAUAGCGUGGGCAGUUUGAGGAAUUUGGAUUCAAUACCAAGAAAGUAUCCAGAGGCUUGUCAAUGCCCUCCAAAGGGCAGAAGGAAAUUGAGCUUGUUGUAGCUGGUCUUAUCACUGGGAUGAACACACAUGAGUGUGCCCUGACUCAUGCUCAUGAGUUCAGCAUCCUUUGAGCUACUUUUAUUCUUUAUUUUGUAUCCAUGACACUAUUUCCACAAUCCUGAAUAACUGGGCUUACUUGAUUAUAUUUAGUACACAUCUUCUCUGGAGGUUUUGUUGCCAUAUUAUUGUUCUCAUUAGCCUGUUGAUGUCAUAGAAUAAAAAC
rnacentral:lncRNA from 10 species